GACAGGGAAGGUUCCAGCACAGGCAAGCAGUUCCCCAGGGGGCAAAGCUGCAGCUCCAAAUGUUGAGCCUCGAGGAGAUGAUGUCAAUCGUGGGGCUGUGGGUAAGGAAGCAGCAGCCAAAUGGACAAGAGGACUCAGUAGCACGGUACCAAAAGAUGUGCUGGAGAAGAUAGCAGAGUACAAGAAAGGAGAGGAGAGCAACCCUGGCUCCCCAGCAGUGGGACAGCCCCCUCACGGAGGGGACAACAAUAGGUACCAGCUUUGGGGAGGUGGCUGUGGCAGCAGGACAGAGUCAGAGGGGACAGGGAUGGGGUUCCCCUGUGCAAGGGGGAACCUUGUAGUCCUGACUGUCCCUCUCUUCUCUCUGCUGGAGGAGGAGAGAGGCAGAGGCUGAUUGGGGCAUGUGGCAGCUGGAAACCCAAGUGCAGGAUGUCUGCCAGGUGGUGAAUGUGACUCUGUCCCCAUACAAGGAGAGUGUAUGUGUGGGAGUGCCCCCAUGUCCAGUGGUGAGCCUGGAGGCAGCACGGAUGCAGCAGGAGCCCCUGGCCCCCAGCUCCAGUGCCAGGGCUAUGCUCAUGGAGGGGCCAGCAGGAGGGAGGCCUCCCAGGAGCCCUCAGGUGGAGGCCAUGCUGCAGGAGCUGGGGGAAUUGUGGGAGGACCUGCAGAAGAAGCACCAGGAGAAUGGUGUAGUGCUGCAAGAAAUCGAUAAGGCACUGAGGCUGGUGGGGGAGCUGGACCAGGCUGAGCAGUGGCUGCAAGCCAUGGCUGGGUCACUCGUGGAACCAGCCACCAUGAGAAGCCCAGCGGAGCUGCGCCAGGAGCUGGAAGAAAUGAGCCAGCUGGAGAAGCAGCUCCUGCUGUGUGGCCUCAAACUGCAGGCACUGCGGGAAGAAGCAGCAGGCGAGUCACCCUCUGAGCAUGAGGGAGCAAGGAAGAUGCAGAGGAAAGUGAAGAUGGUGGAGGAGAAAUUGGCACAGGUGCAGGCAACCCUGCGGCACCGGGCAGCAGAUCUGCAGGACUCCCUUGUGCUGUCUGAGUUCCUGCAGGACCUGCAAGAGGAGGAGGCACAGAGCCAGCAGGGAUCUGCAGUGCCAGGAAGUGGGCACUGCAGUUCGAAGGGGUGUUUUCCCCUGCUCUCAGCCCAGGCUGAGACAUCUCCAAACAGCGAAGACAUGAGUCGCCCCUUGGGAGAGCUGCAGGAGGCAGUGGAGAUGCUGAAUAACGUGGCAAAAGAGCGGGAGCGGGUCAUGGAGGUGGCAGCGGAGACAGAGAACCUGGAGCGUCUGGUGGCAAAGGUAUCCCCACAGCUGAAGGCACUUCAGUGCAGAGCCGAGGCACUAUCUCAAGACAUUGCCCUAGCAGAGAAUGGCUUCACCACAGUGAAGAGUGAGAAGGACCUGCAAGAGCUGCAGGGCUUGCUAAGCUGCCAGCAGGAGAUGGAGCAUGCAGUGUCACAGACCCUGCAAGGGCACCUGGAGGAGCUGGAGAGGGCAGCUGCCCACUUGCAAGAGCUGAGCCCUGCUCAGCAGUGCCCCAUCAGCCAGGAGCUGCAGGAGACUCUGUGGGCCUGGGCAGGGCUGCAAGAGCUGCUGCAGGAGACUCGGCUCCGCGUGCAGCAGGCCAGCCAGCUCCGGCACUUCUUCAAGGAUUAUCUAGCCAUGAUCUCCUGGACAGAGGACACACGGGCUCAGAUCUUCUCUGAAAGCCCAAGCAGCGCCAGUCUCCCAGAGACUCCAUGUGAGGAACUGGAGAGGAGAAUUGAAGAGAAACUCAAGGAGUUUGAGGCACUAGCAGCAGCAGGGCAGCAGCUGGUGUCUGAGGAGCACUACCUGAGUGCAACAAUAAAGGAGCGCUUGGAAGAGCUGCAGAGCAUGCUGGGCUGGGUGCUGGUGCGCUGGCGAGCACAGAGGCAUCAGCAGGAUCUGGGGAGCAGACAGGAGGACAGGAGGGACCUGGAGAGCCUCUCAAGCACAUCCCCCACUGGUCAAGUGCAGGUGGAGGCCAGGAAAACCUGUGCCACAAAGUGGACACCUGUUGUUGUCCGCCGCCCUCCAGCAUCCAGCAGUGGGAUGCCGGUUGUGUCCCACACCCUGCCUAAGGCCGGGGCUGGCUGUCUCUUCAACAGCUUGCAGCGGCGGGAGCAGGCCAGAGUAGAGCAGGCCCGGCUGCUGACUCUCCAGGGCAUCAUGGGCGACAGCUCCCUGCAGCCCACACCUGAGGAAUGCCAUGGCCCCAACAACACGUGGCCUCAGAAGUGUGGUUGGAGAAAGGGGAGGCCAGGGACAGCUGCUGCUGGACCUCAGCUUGGGGAGCUGCUCCUCUACGUCAGGAACCCACUGGUGCAGGACAUUGAUGCUGAGUGUGAGGCAGCCCCUCAGAACCCUUGCCUCCCUAACCCAAAAAUCACAUGCCCUCGUGUUUCCCUGGGCUCCGUGCUCAGCCUGGAGCUGCCACGGGAUGCAGUGGUCCUGGGGUGCCACCAAGGGGCUGCAGCACAGCAGCAGGAGGCAGAGAGGCAGGAGCAGAGGCAGGAUCAAGGGGUGAGGCCUUGGAAACCCAUAGGCACAUACGGAGUUGGAUGGCAGGAAGAUGGGCACAGUCCCCAGGGGCCCAGCAAGAGGCUGGGGAUGUCCCCCAAGCGUGAGGGAGGAACGUUGUUCGAGGAGGUGAGCUUCAACCCCAGCUACAGCCAGCAAAGGGCACACUGUGCUGAGAAGGAGCACGGGAACCUGCAGCACCCCAGCAGCACCAGUAAAGACCUUCUGGACUUGGGGCCGAGCCAGCCAUCCUUUGUCAGUAUGGGGGAUGAGCUGACCACCCACUUUGGCCAGGACAACAGCCCCACUGCCACUGGCAGGGCCAGGCUUCACAGAGCCACUUGGCUAGAGCUUGGAUCAUCUCCUGCCAGCAUCCCAGGCAGGACUGGAGCCAUCCCCAGCCCUGCCUGCAAACACCAGCCAGCCAGCAACAGCCAGCCCAGAAGGUCCCCAGCUUCCCCUGCUGCCCCCACCCAGCUCUCUAUCUUUGAGUGGGCACUGGGGUCUCCACAGCCCCAGAGCCCUGCACUGGGCACUAAGGAAGUUUGCCACCCUGCCCACAGGCAGUUUGAGGAAGAGGAGGAGGAGCUGCAGGCCAUCUGGGAUGGUGCACAUGAGCGACGGGCACAGAGCCCACCUAGAGGCAGCUGUGCCAGCCAUCGGACAGGCAGCAGGGAAGGCAGUUUGCCCAGCCCGAGCACUACUGCUGGCGGGCCCUUUAUCCUCUCAUCAGCCAACAAUGUGCUAGUGGCCAGAUUCACCCUCCCCACCGUUGCCCAGCUGCUCCACAGCCCAUCAGGAGAGAAGAGCCCCGGGGUGGUGCACAGUGGCAGUGGCAGUCCCAACAGGGAUUCCCCCCACGUGGAGGAACUGGUGUCUGCAGCCCAUUUGGAUAACUUCAGCACCUGGGGUCAGCGGCGGCACGGGCAAGAGGAGAGAGAGAGCAGCAAGGUCCUUCCUGGUAAAAUGGAGUUUCAGAUGAUGGAGGGGACGCUGGAAAGGAAGCACAUAUUGCAAACAGGAGGGAGAAAGGCCAGCUGCCGGGCCUGGGGCCUCUUCCAUGCCAUGUUGAUGAGGCAGACACUGUGUUUCUAUGAGGACCGCAGAGACAGCCUCAAGAGCUCUGUGGUGGCCCUUCCCUUGAACCUGACUGGGGCAGUCUGCACUCCAGAUGCUGAGUACACCAAGAAGACCAACUGCUUCAGACUUCAGCUGCAGGAUGGCUCUGAAUACCUCCUGAGGGCCCCCACCCAGCCCCUCAUGAAUGAAUGGGUCUCAAAGCUGCAGCAAAACUCAGGUUUCCCCAAAGUGGAUUACUUCCAGGCAGCAGCACAGCGUGUCGAGGGCAUCGGUGGUACUGGCAGUUUCAGCAAGGUCUCCAGCCCUGGGAUCUCCCACCUCCAGGGACAUCAUCAGGUCAUGACCACCAAGAGCCAGGAGACUGUGGUAUUACCCUGUGCAAGCACAGUACUGCAGCGGCCUCUGGGCAGCCAGGAUGGCCCAGUUGAUGGGACUGUGGCAGCAGCAGAGAAUGCUCAGGGGAUUGGGCACAAGGAGCAGCAGUGGUCAUCCAGGGUGUCCCCCGGGCUGUGGGACAACAUCCGCCCAGAAGACAACUGUGGGCUGGUGGCCAGCAAGAGGAGGUCCUACUCCUUCACCUCAGCCACCUACCAGAAGAUCACCCCACUGACGGUGCACAAGGAGCCAGCAGAGGCCGGGAGCAGUUAUUCUGUCACACUGUACAUAGGGGAGCAGGUGUCAGCUGUGCCCCGAGCACGCUGUCACUCCUUUGUGGCCCAAACAGGGAGCCUUUGGGACACACGAAGGGAGAAGACCACCAGCCCCCCUCGCACCAGGAACAAAUCUGUCUUCAAGAAGUUCUUUGGGAAGAAAGAGUGA
ensembl:lncRNA